GCCUAACACAUGCAAGUCGAGCGGCAGCACAAGGGAGUUUACUCCUGAGGUGGCGAGCUGGCGGACGGGUGAGUAAUGCCUAGGGAUCUGCCCAGUCGAGGGGGAUAACAGUUGGAAACGACUGCUAAUUACCUGCAUACGCCCUACAGGGGGAAAGAGGGGGACCUUCGGGUCGCUCUCGCAGAUUGGAUGAACCUAGGUAGGGAUUAG
rnacentral:rRNA from 1 species